rfam:Dracunculus medinensis genome assembly, scaffold: DME_scaffold0000032
GGUCCAAUAGUGUAGCGGUUAUCACGUCUGCUUCACACGCAGAAGGCCGGCGGUUCGAACCCGCCUUGGACCA